GUUGGAAGUUGGAUUGCAGACUGUGUGUAUGACAUAGCCAGAGAUUUCCCUCUUGCGCUGGAUGUGGGCUGUGGAAGAGGCUUCAUAGCACAACAUUUGAAUAAGAUGAAGAUGGAAUCAGCGUAUGAGAAGAUGGGAAAACAAAGAAAAAUCAAAAGGAUGAUGAAGAACAAAUUGCUAAAUAUAGACAGCUCUUGGAGAUUAUUAAAGAAAAAGAAAGAAAAGGAAAAGAAAACGAUAUGGAAAUGGAAAUCAAGUGGGUUAGAGGCCUUAAGGAGAGUGCAGAAGAGAUGGUCAAAAACAGGUUGGAGGGAAAGGAUAAACUGACCCCUUGGGAACAAUUUUUAGAGCAGAAGAAAGAGAAGAGAAGACUGAAAAAGAAACAGAAGGCUCUUGCUGAAGAAGCUAGUGAAGAUGAGCUUCCUUCUGAUGUUGAUAUGAAUGAUCCCUACUUUGCUGAAGAAGUUAAAAAAAUAGGUA